rnacentral:rRNA from 1 species
AUGGCGACGGAGCCGCGAAAUGAUUCUUCAUAUAAAUCGGCGGCGGUGUCCAUGCCCCGUAAAAACGGCUGCGGUGCUAGCGACAAGUCAUCGCGUGAGAAGGGCGACGACCUAGUCUCCCCGAGAAGCGUCCUCGAGGGAUGCACGACGACGAGCGACGUUGACGCCGCCGCAAUGACGGACGAGGCGAUGGGGUCGUCGUCGACGAUGACGGGCGUUGUCGCCGCGCCGUCCACGCCCGAGCCGCCGCGAAACGACGGGCUUCCGGCCGCCUGGAAGGGUGCCAUGGAGGCGUGGAGGUCAAGGACCAAACGCCGCCUCUCCAGCGGCAUCCCGUCAACCAUGUCGUCGAAGCUCAGGAGCUUGAGCAUCCGCGGCAGCAGCAAGUGGCGGUGGCCGUCGGCGGGGCAGGUGAACGUAGAACAACACGACCUGUGCGCGCUGAGGCUAUCCUUCCGGACCUUCUCGCUGUCGGAGCUGAGGAAGGCCACCCGCAACUUCUGCAAGGAGAACGUGGUGGGCAGGGGCGGGCACGCCAAGGUGUACCGCGGCCUCCUGUCGGACGGGCAGCUGGUCGCCGUGAAGAAGCUGUCAGCGACGGAGAAUGACCGCAUGGAGAGCUUCCUGUUGGAGCUGGGGCACGCGGUGAACGUACGCCACCCGAACGUGGCGAGGCUGGUGGGCGUGGGCCUGGAGGGCGGCGAGCACCUGGUGUUCCCCUUCUCACGCCUGGGAUGCCUCUCCCGCAGGCUCCACGGGGGCUCCGGCGAGGAGGGGGCCAUGCCGUGGGUGGCGAGGUACAAGGUGGCCCUGGGCGCGGCCAGCGGGUUGGAGUACCUCCACGAGCGGUGCGCCAGGAGGAUCGUGCACCGGGACGUCAAGCCCGCCAACAUCCUGCUCAAAGACGACUACGAGCCACUAAUAUGUGACUUUGGGCUAGCAAAGUGGCUGCCGGCCAAGUUGACGCACUACCAAGUGACCAUCUUCGAAGGCACAUUUGGAUACGUGCCGCCCGAGUACACGACGCACGGGAUCUUCAACGAGAAGACUGACGUGUUCGCCUUUGGGGUCGUGCUGCUCGAGCUCCUCACCGGCCGGCGCGCCAUCGACGGCAAAAACCACAGCCUCGUUGCAUGGGUACGAUCCUUCCUCAGCAGCAAGGACGAGGUCUUGAAGAUGGUCGACCCCGCUCUAGGAGGUCGAUACGACGUGGAGCAGCUCCGCCGCGUCACGCACGCCGCCCAACUCUGCAUCCACACCUCGCCGGCCCAAAGGCCACGGAUGAGCCAGGUUGCAAGAAUCCUCAGAGGAGACCAAGAAACCCUGCAACAAAUCAUGAUGCACGAGAGAGCAAACAUGACAGAGCUACAUGAAAUAGACGGCUAUGAAGCGCCCGCGCCAAGGACAUACCUCCAUGAUCUCAGUCGCCACAAGGCGCUAGCAUUUGACUUCUAG